rnacentral:rRNA from 1 species
GAGUUUGAUCAUGGCUCAGAACGUACGCUGGCGGCACGCCUAACACAUGCAAGUCGAACGAAGUAGCAAUACUUAGUGGCAGACGGGUGAGUAACAUGUAGGUAUCUACCCUUUGGCCUGGAAUAACACGAGGAAACUUGUGCUAAUACCGGAUAAGUCUUAACAGAGAAAGCUUUAUGCACCAUUGGAUGAGCCUGCACUUGAUUAGUUUGUUGGUGGGGUAAUGGCCUACCAAGACUGUGAUCAAUAGCUGAUUUGAGAGGAUGAUCAGCCACAUUGGGACUGAGACACGGCCCAAACUCCUACGGGAGGCAGCAGUGGGGAAUCUUGCACAAUGGAGGAAACUCUGAUGCAGCGAUGCCGCGUGAGUGAAGAAGGCCUUUGGGUUGUAAAGCUCUUUCGUCGGGGAAGAAAAUGACUGUACCCGAGUAAGAAGGUCCGGCUAACUUCGUGCCAGCAGCCGCGGUAAUACGAAGGGACCUAGCGUAGUUCGGAAUUACUGGGCUUAAAGAGUUCGUAGGUGGUUGAAAAAGUUGGUGGUGAAAUCCCAGAGCUUAACUCUGGAACUGCCAUCAAAACUUUUCAGCUAGAGUAUGAUAGAGGAAAGCAGAAUUUCUAGUGUAGAGGUGAAGUUCGUAGAUAUUAGAAAGAAUACCAAUUGCGAAGGCAGCUUUCUGGAUCAUUACUGACACUGAGGAACGAAAGCAUGGGUAGCGAAGAGGAUUAGAUACCCUCGUAGUCCAUGCCGUAAACGAUGUGUGUUAGACGUUGGAAAUUUAUUUUCAGUGUCGCAGGGAAACCGAUAAACACACCGCCUGGGGAGUACGACCGCAAGGUUAAAACUCAAAUGAAUUGACGGGGACCCGCACAAGUAGUGGAGCAUGUGGUUUAAUUCGAAGAUACGCGCAGAACCUUACCAACACUUGACAUGUUCGUCGCAACUCUAAGAGAUUAGAGUUUUCGGUUCGGCCGGACGAAACACAGGUGCUGCAUGGCUGUCGUCAGCUCGUGUCGUGAGAUGUUGGGUUAAGUCCCGCAACGAGCGCAACCCUCACUUUUAGUUGCCAUCAUUAAGUUGGGCACUCUGAAAGAACUGCCAGUGAUAAGCUGGAGGAAGGUGGGGAUGACGUCAAGUCCUCAUGGCCCUUACGUGUUGGGCUACACACGUGCUACAAUGGUAUCUACAACAGGAAGCAAGACUGCGAAGUUAAGCAAAUCCCUAAAAGAUACCUCAGUUCGGAUUGCACUCUGCAACUCGAGUGCAUGAAGCUGGAAUUACUAGUAAUCGUGGAUCAGCGUGCCACGGUGAAUGCGUUCCCGGGUCUUGUACACACCGCCCGUCACACCAUGGGAGUUGGUUCUACCUUAAGGCAAGGUUUCAAACCCUUGACCACGGUAUAGUCAGCGACUGGGGUGAAGUCGUAACAAGGUAACC